UGGCCGGGCCUGGCGAGGGCCCGCCCCGGGGCUCCCAGCCCGCGAUCGCCGACAAGCCGCCGGGGCGCCGCUUCCGGCUCCGAUCCCUAACUCGUUAUUAAGCGCCUCGCUCUUUGCAGACGCUCCCUGCGCCUCCCCCGCUCGGGCUCCGCGCGCAGGCGCCGGGCAGAGGAGCAGAGCAGCGGCCGCGCUCGGCCGGGGUCCCCGGGGAGCAGAUCCCCCCAGCAUGGCCCUUGGUGCUGCAGGCGUGCUGGGCGCCGGGCCCCGGCACCCAGGAGGCACUGGAUGACUCCCCAGUUGCAAGACCCCGCUCUCUAUGACUGCAGGCCUUCAGCACCCACCCAGCGUGGUACAGGUAGGCCCUUCCUCCCCGUCAGGCCGGAGCAGGCGCUCUGCACGUCUGCCCUGGUGGGCCCUGGUGCCCACGUGGGGCUUUCCUCCCUCCCACCCCGGGCCUCUCCCGCUCCC
rnacentral:lncRNA from 1 species